rnacentral:rRNA from 1 species
AAUGAACGUGGGCGGCAUGGAUUAGGCAUGCAAGUCGAGCGAGAAGUGUAGCAAUACACGGAAAGCGGCGGAAGGGAGAGUAAUACGUGGGAAUCUGCCCUUAGACCUGGGAUAGCAGCGGAAAACUGCUGGUAAUACCAGAUAAUGUCUAUGGAGCAAAGGUGUGAUUCCGUCUAGGGAUGAGCCCACGUCCUAUUAGCUAGUUGGUAGGGUAAUGGCCUACCAAGGCGAUGAUGGGUAGCGGGUGUGAGAGCAUGACCCGCCUCACUGGGACGGAGACACGGCCCAGACACCUACGGGUGGCUGCAGUCGAGAAUCUUCGGCAAUGGGCGCAAGCCUGACCGAGCGAUGCCGCGUGCGGGAUGAAGGCCUUCGGGUUGUAAACCGCUGUCGAGGGGGAGCAACUUCCAUAGAGUUAUCUUUAUGGAUGGAGUGAUCCCUGGAGGAAGGACGGGCUAAGUUCGUGCCAGCAGCCGCCGUAACAC